rnacentral:rRNA from 1 species
UAUUACAAUGAAGAGUUUGAUCCUGGCUCAGGAUGAACGCUAGCUACAGGCUUAACACAUGCAAGUCGAGGGGCAGCAUGAAAGUUUGCUUGCAAACUUUUGAUGGCGACCGGCGCACGGGUGAGUAACACGUAUCCAACCUGCCUCAUACUCGGGGAUAGCCUUUCGAAAGAAAGAUUAAUACCCGAUGUCAUAGUCCUACCGCAUGAUGGGAUUAUUAAAGAAUUUCGGUAUGGGAUGGGGAUGCGUUCCAUUAGUUAGUUGGCGGGGUAACGGCCCACCAAGACAACGAUGGAUAGGGGUUCUGAGAGGAAGGUCCCCCACAUUGGAACUGAGACACGGUCCAAACUCCUACGGGAGGCAGCAGUGAGGAAUAUUGGUCAAUGGACGAGAGUCUGAACCAGCCAAGUAGCGUGAAGGAUGACUGCCCUAUGGGUUGUAAACUUCUUUUAUAUGGGAAUAAAACGUUC